UUACGGCCAUAUGACGUUAAAACAUUGGUUCCCGUACGACCACCGACGUUAAGCAAAGACGAACCUGCUCAGUACUUAGAUGGGUGAUUGCUUGGGAACAG